rnacentral:rRNA from 1 species
UACGUAGGGGGCAAGCGUUGUCCGGAAUCAUUGGGCGUAAAGCGCGUGUAGGCGGUCCGGUAAGUCCGCUGUGAAAGUCGGGGGCUCAACCCUCGGAUGCCGGUGGAUACUGGCGGGCUUGAGUACGGAAGAGGCGAGUGGAAUUCCUGGUGUAGCGGUGAAAUGCGCAGAUAUCAGGAGGAACACCAAUUGCGAAGGCAGCUCGCUGGGACGUUACUGACGCUGAGGAGCGAAAGCGUGGGUAGCAAACAGG